GUCGAACGAUGAUGCCCAGCCUUGCUGGGCGGAUUAGUGGCGAACGGGUGAGUAAUACGUGAGUAACCUGCCCUUGACUCUGGGAUAAGCCUGGGAAACUGGGUCUAAUACUGGAUACUACUUCCCUGCCGCAUGGUGGGUGGUGGAAAGGGUUUUACUGGUUUUGGAUGGGCUCACGGCCUAUCAGCUUGUUGGUGGGGUAAUGGCUCACCAAGGCGACGACGGGUAGCCGGCCUGAGAGGGUGACCGGCCACACUGGGACUGAGACACGGCCCAGACUCCUACGGGAGGCAGCAGUGGGGAAUAUUGCACAAUGGGCGGAAGCCUGAUGCAGCGACGCCGCGUGAGGGAUGACGGCCUUCGGGUUGUAAACCUCUUUCAGUAGGGAAGAAGCGAGAGUGACGGUACCUGCAGAAGAAGCGCCGGCUAACUACGUGCCAGCAGCCGCGGUAAUACGUAGGGCGCAAGCGUUGUCCGGAAUUAUUGGGCGUAAAGAGCUCGUAGGCGGUUUGUCGCGUCUGCUGUGAAAGCCCGGGGCUCAACCCCGGGUCUGCAGUGGGUACGGGCAGACUAGAGUGCAGUAGGGGAGACUGGAAUUCCUGGUGUAGCGGUGAAAUGCGCAGAUAUCAGGAGGAACACCGAUGGCGAAGGCAGGUCUCUGGGCUGUUACUGACGCUGAGGAGCGAAAGCAUGGGGAGCGAACAGGAUUAGAUACCCUGGUAGUCCAUGCCGUAAACGUUGGGCACUAGGUGUGGGGGACAUUCCACGUUUUCCGCGCCGUAGCUAACGCAUUAAGUGCCCCGCCUGGGGAGUACGGCCGCAAGGCUAAAACUCAAAGGAAUUGACGGGGGCCCGCACAAGCGGCGGAGCAUGCGGAUUAAUUCGAUGCAACGCGAAGAACCUUACCAAGGCUUGACAUUCACCGGACCGCCUCAGAGAUGGGGUUUCCCUUCGGGGCUGGUGGACAGGUGGUGCAUGGUUGUCGUCAGCUCGUGUCGUGAGAUGUUGGGUUAAGUCCCGCAACGAGCGCAACCCUCGUUCUAUGUUGCCAGCACGUGAUGGUGGGGACUCAUAGGAGACUGCCGGGGUCAACUCGGAGGAAGGUGGGGAUGACGUCAAAUCAUCAUGCCCCUUAUGUCUUGGGCUUCACGCAUGCUACAAUGGCCGGUACAAAGGGUUGCGAUACUGUGAGGUGGAGCUAAUCCCAAAAAGCCGGUCUCAGUUCGGAUUGAGGUCUGCAACUCGACCUCAUGAAGUCGGAGUCGCUAGUAAUCGCAGAUCAGCAACGCUGCGGUGAAUACGUUCCCGGGCCUUGUACACACCGCCCGUCAAGUCACGAAAGUUGGUAACACCCGAAGCCGGUGGCCUAACC
rnacentral:rRNA from 1 species